AGCGAACGCUGGCGGCAGGCCUAACACAUGCAAGUCGAACGAACCUUUCGGGGUUAGUGGCGACCGGGUGAGUAACACGUGGGAACGUGCCUUUAGGUUCGGAAUAACUCAGGGAAACUUGUGCUAAUACCGAAUGUGCCCUUCGGGGGAAAGAUUGAUCGACUUUAGGGCGGCCCGCGUCUGAUUGGCUAGUUGGUUGAGGUAAUGGCUCACCAAGGCGACGAUCAGUAGCUGGUCUGCGAGGAUGAUCAGCCACAUUGGGACUGAGACACGGCCCAUACUCCUACGGGAGGCAGCAGUGGGGAAUCUUGCGCAAUGGGCGAGAGCCUGACGCAGCCAUGCCGCGUGAAUGAUCAAGGUCUUGUGAUUGGAAAAUUCUUUCGCCGGGGACGAUAAUGACGGUACCCGGAGAAGAAGCCCCGGCUAACUUCGUG
rnacentral:rRNA from 1 species